GCCCAGGUGGCGGAAUGGUAGACGCGCUCGUUUCAGGUGCGAGUGCCGCAAGGCGUGCAGGUUCGAGUCCUGUUCUGGGC
rnacentral:tRNA from 1 species